CUCAGCAGUCAUACUGCCUGAAGUUCAGCCCAUGUAAUCCAUCUGAAGCUAAGCAGCUUUGGGCCUGAUCAGUACUUGCAUGGGAGACCAACUAGGAAAGCAGGGUUGUUGCUGGAA
rnacentral:rRNA from 1 species